CGGUAGCUUACACAUGCAAGUCGUGCGAGAAAGUUCUUCGGAUAUGAGUAGAGCGGCGGACGGGUGAGUAACGCGUAGGAAUCUACCUAGUAGAAGGGGAUAGCCCGGGGAAACCCGGAUUAAUACCGUAUACCUCCUUCGGGAGAAAGAAGGCCUCUCUUUGAAGCUUUCGCUAUUAGAUGAGCCUGCGUAAGAUUAGCUUGUUGGUGAGGUAAAGGCUCACCAAGGCGACGAUCUUUAGCUGGUCUGAGAGGACGAUCAGCCACAUUGGGACUGAGACACGGCCCAGACUCCUACGGGAGGCAGCAGUGGGGAAUAUUGGACAAUGGGCGCAAGCCUGAUCCAGCCAUACCGCGUGUGUGAAGAAGGCCUUCGGGUUGUAAAGCACUUUAAGCAGGGAGAAAAAGUUAUAAGUUAAUACCUUAUAACCGUGAUGUUACCUGCAGAAUAAGCACCGGCUAAUUCCGUGCCAGCAGCCGCGGUAAUACGGAAGGUGCAAGCGUUAAUCGGAAUUACUGGGCGUAAAGCGCGCGUANGUGGUUUGUUUAGUUGGAUGUGAAAGCC
rnacentral:rRNA from 1 species